rnacentral:snoRNA from 1 species
CUUCCUGAUGAACUCUUAAUUCGCUGUGUUCUUGCCGAGUGUUGACGUUGAAGAAAAUCUUGAUUCACCUUGGGGAACUGAUGU